rnacentral:rRNA from 1 species
UACGUAGGGUGCUAGCGUUGUCCGGAUUUAUUGGGCGUAAAGAGCUCGUAGGCGGUUUGUCGCGUCGGCCGUGAAAUCUCCACGCUUAACGUGGAGCGUGCGGUCGAUACGGGCAGACUUGAGUUCGGUAGGGGAGACUGGAAUUCCUGGUGUAGCGGUGAAAUGCGCAGAUAUCAGGAGGAACACCGGUGGCGAAGGCGGGUCUCUGGGCAGUAACUGACGCUGAGGAGCGAAAGCGUGGGGAGCGAACAGG